rnacentral:tRNA from 1 species
ACGGCAGUAGUCUAGUGGUAGGAUUCGACCCUCCCAAGGUCGAGACCCGGGUUCAAAUCCCGGCUGCCGUA